rnacentral:misc_RNA from 1 species
AAGUCGUAACAAGGUCUCCGUAGGUGAACCUGCGGAGGGAUCAUUCACAUGAUUACUUUCUAAACAAACUGUGAACUAUAUUAUUUACCAUUCGUGUUAUUAACACUCCAAUUUAUUGGUUUGUUAUUCAACACUGUCAUUCGAUCGAACAUAAAGAUAGUUGGCUUGUAUUCUUGUAAUACUUUCUCAGCUUUGAUUUCUGAUGUAACUAAACACUACAUUUGACAAUCAACCAAUCAAUAGAAUUAACAACUCUAUGCCCUGGAUAUCUUGGUUCUC